CUGCAGAGUUUGUACGGACCGG
rnacentral:miRNA from 1 species